GACGAACGCUGGCGGCGUGCUUAACACAUGCAAGUCGAUCGGAAAGGCCUCUUCGGAGGUACUCGAGUGGCGAACGGGUGAGUAACACGUGGGCAAUCUGCCCUGCACUUCGGGAUAAGCCCGGGAAACUGGGUCUAAUACCGGAUAGGACCUUUAGACGCAUGUCUUUUGGUGGAAAGCUUUUGCGGUGUGGGAUGGGCCCGCGGCCUAUCAGCUUGUUGGUGGGGUGAUGGCCUACCAAGGCGACGACGGGUAGCCGGCCUGAGAGGGUGUCCGGCCACACUGGGACUGAGAUACGGCCCAGACUCCUACGGGAGGCAGCAGUGGGGAAUAUUGCACAAUGGGCGCAAGCCUGAUGCAGCGACGCCGCGUGGGGGAUGACGGCCUUCGGGUUGUAAACCUCUUUCACCAUCGACGAAGGUCCGGGUUUUCUCGGAUUGACGGUAGGUGGAGAAGAAGCACCGGCCAACUACG
rnacentral:rRNA from 1 species